rnacentral:rRNA from 1 species
UUGAAAGGGAAACGAUUGAAGUCAGUCGUACUGACGGGAAAUCAACCUUCUGGGUGUGAUCUUGUGGAUGCUAGAGAGCUUAACGGCCUCUGUGUUUUCAAGUUUGUGCUCUUGGGCGUAUUUUCUCGUAUAGUAAGUUAACAUCAAUUUCGGUCGUUAUAAAAUGAUCGGAGGAAAGUAGCUUCGAUUUAUCGAAGUGUUAUAGACUCUGGUAGAUGUAACGAUUGGGAUUGAGGAUUGCAACGAAUACCCGUCAGGGCUAUCCGUCUGGCCUCUGAUCAUUACCUUGGUGCCGAAAGCUUGCUUACGGUUAUUAAGGUUGAUGGUCAAAAGGUUAGAACGUGAUUAAAUUUCGUUAAGGAUGUUGACGUA